UAAAGUUGUAACUGCCUACCUUCAGCACC
rnacentral:piRNA from 1 species